rnacentral:lncRNA from 1 species
GGUGAGCUGUUGACCUGGUGUGCCAAGUGGUUGCAAGGUGAGCUGCUGGCCGAAUAAGGCUGCUGGGCGAUGCUAUUGCUUGUGGUUAGGAGCUGCAACACUUGGUUGUUUUUGGAUGCUAGGAUCGAUAGUGGAACGAGUGAAUGGAGGUUGGUUUGAUGAGUGAUGAAUGAUGGAGAAGGUUGGUGGAAUUUAUAGGGAAGAGGGUAGGAGUUUAGUUAGAAUUCUUAGAACAAUUUAAUAGUUAAAAUAUUC